rnacentral:lncRNA from 1 species
UGAUCGUUUACCGGAGAUAUUGUCGGAGGUAGACCGAGCUCAUCGUCGGAAGCUUCGAGAAGGUAACCGAGGUCCGUUUGAGAUUCGCCGGAUUCCGAUGGAUUCAGAUCGAGAACGGUCUGAGAAUCGUCGUGAAGAGGUGAGUGAUGAAGGAUUUCUUCCUCAAAACUCUUCAUGACGGAAUCCAGAUCCUGAAUCUCCGGCGGACAUUCGUUCAGAGCAUCAGGCUCAUCUAAGAUAUCCAAUAUAUCUUCUCUUAUCUGCUUAGCCUCCGGCGAAUCCAGGUACACAUCUUUUCGCACGUCAUCGGAAUCCGAUGAGUUGACUCGGUUCAACUCAGACGAGUCGGGAGCGGUCUUCUCUAGCUCUGAUGAGUUAACUCGCUUGGGCUCAGGCGAGUCAUCAAAUGCGUCCAAUCCUGACUCAACUCGGGUCCGCUUAUUACUGUUAUUAUUAUUCUCAGUUUUCAACUCUUUUUUCAUGUUGAGACAAAAGCCUUAACAACUGAUGUGAAGAGAUUUCUCAAAAUUAUAAAAUCCAAGAAUAGGACAAUAGGUGGGGGCUAGUGGGGUAACUACUCUAGGCACAAAGUCUAGAAAGAUAAAAUGAGCUUUGGAAAAAAAAAGAGGGAAGGGCAAAAGAGAGAUAUUAGCUUUUGGUAGUUGUAAGUCCUUGUUUGGUUAUAGGAAAGAAGAAAGAGAGAGAAGAGGGAAAAAUAUUUUGAAGCAAUGAAGGAGAUAAGGAAGGGGAAGAUAGUUUAUAUAGUGGGAGAGAAAAGGAGGGGGACCAAAGGGUGAGAGGGAUAAGAUUUGGUUGUGUGUGUGAGAGAAGGAAGAGAGAGAAGGGGAGAAACGAGACAAAAGAUGCUGUUUUCAGGUUGAGAUGCAAAGGUGGAGAGAAGUGGAGCUGGCAAUUAUAGUAGUCCCAUCUUAAGUAUUCGUUUGGCCAUAAAACAAAUGUUUAUUUUCUAGGGAUUAUUUUUCUUUUUUAAAUUAAAAAAUUAGUGUUUGGCUUUUAUUUAAGUACACAUAUGUCCAUAUUGAUAGGGUUUACAACACACAGUAUUUUACCAAAGAGCAACAUAUUCAAUAUAUUUAUUUUCAUAAUAAAACCAAAUAUGAAGGAUAAAGUGCAUAAAAUUUAUAUUUCUACGUUAACAGAUACAUAGAGUAGAGAGAUUGUUUUCAAUAAAUUUUUGGCUAAAACUAAAGUAAUUGGUUAGAAAAAAAUUAAUAUAAAAAUAAGAGAUAAUAAAAAAUAACACAAUAAAUACUGACAGAAAAAAGAUUACCACAAAGUAGUGUUAUAAUUAAUUUAUCUGAAACAACAACAUUAUCAAAACUUCAAAACUAAAGACACUACGGAAUCAUUUGAUGGAUAUACAGAAUAAAUAAUUUCAAAAUAAAAUGAAAAAUUAUUUUAUUUCAUAUUUGAUGUGAGGUAUUAAUUAGUAUCGAAAUUCCAUAAAAGUCAUCCUCAUCUUUUCCUAAUAACUUCAUUAAUUUACCUCUUUUAUCCCUAUCAGCACAUUCAUCGUCGCCGUUUUCAAUUUUACUACUUUUGUCCUCUGGGAUACAAGGAACUUUAUAGCACCGCGCUGCAUUUUAUACUGUACGGCUACUCUAUUACAUCAUCAUUAAUUUUUUAUUACUUUCUCCGUUUCAUUUGGUGUGAUCAUUUUUUUUAAUUCAUUUUAAAAAACAUAUCAUACUUUUUUAUUUAAUAAAUAUUUAAAAACAUAAUUACAUCUUUAUCUUUAUUAAACCCACUUAAUUAAAAAUAAAUAGCGACACAUUUUUAAUAAAAGACAACCUGAUAAAUAUUUUUUAUUUUUUUAAUUUUGUGCCCGAUCAAAUAACACAUAAAAUGAGAGGGAGAGGGAGUACUAAAUACUACCCUUCUCUACUAGUAUAUGACUUGUGAAUCACAUAAAUUAUGUAUAUUUCUUUUGUAAAAUAGAAAAAUAUCACACAAACGUAAGAGCAACGAAUCAAUAGGAGUACAAAGGAGAAAAUCGUCUUUCUUUGUUUUCCUCGCAUUAAAAACAGAAUUUAUACUGAUAAUAUAUUCAAUACUGUAUAAUAGCGCAUGGCAGAAAACAGAAAUACAAUUUGUUUGUUCUAGCAACUUUCUUUGCUUCAAUAAUUAAAUGGGCUAAAAUUAAGCUAAUUGUGUGUGAGUAAUUCUACUGUAUUUUUGGCACUUGGCUGGGUAGACAGUUCAAAUGAGCAAAUUAUAUAAGGAUGAUGUAAAAUUUCCAAAUUCUACCAUCUGAAAACACUUGAUUCUAAAGUAUUGAAUUUCAAAUUUAGCUUUCCUAUUUUUAUGCUGUGCUGCUUUCUGGUUUUCAGAUGUACAAACUAACGCUACCAUUCACAUAACCAAAAAAGUUUCAUCAGUUCAUAGAGCGGGUAAGGAUUCCUGCCGCCAUGAAAAUUCAGAAAAAUCCGACGGCUCCGGGUAAUCAAACAACCCGCCGACUGUUAAAAAGUCGCCGUUGCUAUUACCUCCGUCAUUAUCUCCUUCCCUGAGGUCAUGCUCCAUGCCAAAAUCGAACGUGUCGUAAUUAGGCAUAUCGUCCUCAAAUCUCGCCAUGUUAACGAAUUCAGCUGCCUCAGGCAUGACGUCAGAUUCGGCAUUAACGUUGUGAUCGUUUACCGGAGAUAUUGUCGGAGGUAGACCGAGCUCAUCGUCGGAAGCUUCGAGAAGGUAACCGAGGUCCGUUUGAGAUUCGCCGGAUUCCGAUGGAUUCAGAUCGAGAACGGUCUGAGAAUCGUCGUGAAGAGGUGAGUGAUGAAGGAUUUCUUCCUCAAAACUCUUCAUGACGGAAUCCAGAUCCUGAAUCUCCGGCGGACAUUCGUUCAGAGCAUCAGGCUCAUCUAAGAUAUCCAAUAUAUCUUCUCUUAUCUGCUUAGCCUCCGGCGAAUCCAGGUACACAUCUUUUCGCACGUCAUCGGAAUCCGAUGAGUUGACUCGGUUCAACUCAGACGAGUCGGGAGCGGUCUUCUCUAGCUCUGAUGAGUUAACUCGCUUGGGCUCAGGCGAGUCAUCAAAUGCGUCCAAUCCUGACUCAAUUCGGGUCCGCUUAUUACUGUUAUUAUUUUUCUCAGUUUUCAACUCUUUUUUCAUGUUGAGACAAAAGCCUUAACAACUGAUGUGAAGAGAUUUCUCAAAAUUAUAAAAUCCAAGAAUAGGACAAUAGGUGGGGGCUAGUGGGGUAACUACUCUAGGCACAAAGUCUAGAAAGAUAAAAUGAGCUUUGGAAAAAAAAAGAGGGAAGGGCAAAAGAGAGAUAUUUGCUUUUGGUAGUUGUAAGUCCUUGUUUGGUUAUAGGAAAGAAGAAAGAGAGCGAAGAGGGAAAAAUAUUUUGAAGCAAUGAAGGAGAUAAGGAAGGGGAAGAUAGUUUAUAUAGUGGGAGAGAAAAGGAGGGGGACCAAAGGGUGAGAGGGAUAAGAUUUGGUUGUGUGUGUGAGAGAAGGAAGAGAGAGAAGGGGAGAAACGAGACAAAAGAUGCUGUUUUCAGGUUGAGAUGCAAAGGUGGAGAGAA